rnacentral:rRNA from 1 species
CCUACGGGUGGCAGCAGUGGGGAAUAUUGCACAAUGGGGGAAACCCUGAUGCAGCGACGCCGCGUGAGUGAGGAAGUAUUUCGGUAUGUAAAGCUCUAUCAGCAGGGAAGAAAAUGACGGUAGCUGACUAAGAAGCCCCGGCUAACUACGUGCCAGCAGCCGCGGUAAUACGUAGGGGGCAAGCGUUAUCCGGAUUUACUGGGUGUAAAGGGAGCGUAGACGGUUAAUCAAGUCAGAAGUGAAAACCCAGGGCUAAACGUUGGGACUGCUUUUGAAACUGAGUAGCUGGAGUGCAGGAGAGGUAAGCGGAAUUCCUGGUGUAGCGGUGAAAUGCGUAGAUAUUAGGAGGAACACCAGUGGCGAAGGCGACUUACUGGACUGUAACUGACGUUGAGGCUCGAAAGCGUGGGGAGCAAACAGGAUUAGAUACCCUUGUAGUC